rnacentral:snRNA from 1 species
AUAUCACAACGACAUUGACGGAAA